AAAGGACUUCACAUCUUCAAAUCCAGUGAGAUUUGUCCCUUCUUUUUCAGUACUUCGAAAAUGAAGCAAAAGAUGAGCUAGACCCAUUUCUUCAGUGCAUCCAAGACCCAGCGAGAUGCUGCUGUUGUCAACAAGCUGUCGUCAUAUUCCUAAAAUUAGGACUACUCUCCAACCUUUGAGAACGACUGUUCUGUGGUUUCAAUAAAAACUUUGAGGAGAAAUAUAGCAUC